UACGGAGGAUGCGAGCGUUAUCCGGAUUUAUUGGGUUUAAAGGGUGCGUAGGCGGGAGAUUAAGUCGGUGGUGAAAUUUUGCAGCUCAACUGUAAAAGUGCCAUCGAUACUGGUUUUCUUGAGUGUGGAUGAAGUAGGCGGAAUUUGUGGUGUAGCGGUGAAAUGCAUAGAUAUCACGAGGAACUCCGAUUGCGCAGGCAGCUUACUAAGCUACUACUGACGCUCAGGCACGAAGGCGUGGGGAUCAAACAGGAUUAGAUA
rnacentral:rRNA from 1 species